rnacentral:rRNA from 1 species
GAAAACUACGGGCUUAACCCGUAGACUGCAGUUGAAACUGUUCAUCUUGAGUGAAGUAGAGGUUGGCGGAAUUCCGAGUGUAGCGGUGAAAUGCGUAGAUAUUCGGAGGAACACCGGUGGCGAAGGCGGCCAACUGGGCUUUUACUGACGCUGAGGCUCGAAAGUGUGGGGAGCAAACAGGAUUAGAUACCCUGGUAGUCCACACUGUAAACGAUGAUAACUAGGUGUAGGGGGUCUGACCCCUUCUGUGCCGCAGCUAACGCAAUAAGUUAUCCACCUGGGGAGUACGACCGCAAGGUUGAAACUCAAAGGAAUUGACGGGGACCCGCACAAGCAGUGGAUUAUGUGGUUUAAUUCGAAGCAACGCGAAGAACCUUACCAGGGCUUGACAUCCAACUAACGAAGCAGAGAUGCAUUAGGUGCCCUUCGGGGAAAGUUGAGACAGGUGGUGCAUGGUUGUCGUCAGCUCGUGUCGUGAGAUGUUGGGUUAAGUCCCGCAACGAGCGCAACCCCUGCCAUUAGUUGCUACGCAAGAGCACUCUAAUGGGACCGCUACCGACAAGGUGGAGGAAGGUGGGGAUGACGUCAAAUCAUCAUGCCCCUUAUGUGCUGGGCUACACACGUAAUACAAUGGUCGUUAACAAAGAGAAGCAAUACCGCGAGGUGGAGCAAAACUUCAAAAACGAUCUCAGUUCGGACUGCAGGCUGCAACUCGCCUGCACGAAGUUGGAAUUGCUAGUAAUCGUGGAUCAGCAUGCCACGGUGAAUACGUUCCCGGGUCUUGUACACACCGCCCGUCACACCAUGGGAGCCGGUAAUACCCGAAGUCAGUAGUCUAACCUUUAUGGAGGACGCUGCCGAAGGUAGGAUUGGCGACUGGGGUGAAGUCGUAACAAGGUAGCCGUAUCGGAAGGUGCGGCUG